UUUCCGUAGGUGAACCUGCGGAAGGAUCAUUAAUGAUUUUUUUAAGCGAUCCGAGCUUCAAAAAAGCGAGGAUUGCGAAAUAUUUAAAACCCCACUCUUUUAAACUAUUAUGAAAACGUGAAUUUUUUUUAAAAAAAGAUCACUUUCAACAACGGAUCUCUUGGCUCUCGCAUCGAUGAAGAGCGCAGCGAAAUGCGAUAAGUAGUGUGAAUUGCAGAAAUUGUGAAUCAUCGAAUCUUUGAACGCAAAUUGCACUCUCUGGUAUUCCGGGGAGUAUGCCUGUUUGAGGGUCGUUAGAAAAAAAUCGAAGCGUCGCUCUUUAUGAAAAAUAUUUAAUAUAUUUCGUUUUGGGUGAUCGCGUCGGAAUUGAGCCGUCUUUCAUAUGUUUUAUUUAUGUCAAAGUGGUUUAAAAUUCAUCAAUCUGGUACGAUUUAAAGCGUAUUUAAGAUCAGCAUUGAUUAAGAACGCGCGAUGAAGACGUAUCAUCUCAUGUCAUGUAGUACGUUCGACCUGCUUUGUCAGGCUCAUUCGUAUGCGACAACUCAACUUUUGACCUCAAA
rnacentral:rRNA from 1 species